rnacentral:hammerhead_ribozyme from 1 species
GCACUGCUGAGGAGUCCCACAACAGGACGAAACGGCUGUUCAGUGC